rnacentral:rRNA from 1 species
UAGUAACGGCGAGUGAAGCGGCAACAGCUCAAAUUUGAAAUCUGGCCCUUGGGUCCGAAUUGUAAUUUGUAGAGGAUGCUUUUGGUUAGGUACCUUCCGAGUUCCCUGGAACGGGACGCCUUAGAGGGUGAGAGCCCCGUACGGUUGGAUGCCACGCCUCUGUAAAGCUCCUUCGACGAGUCGAGUAGUUUGGGAAUGCUGCUCUAAAUGGGAGGUAAAUUUCUUCUAAAGCUAAAUAUUGGCCAGAGACCGAUAGCGCACAAGUAGAGUGAUCGAAAGAUGAAAAGUACUUUGAAAAGAGGGUUAAACAGCACGUGAAAUUGUUGAAAGGGAAGCGUUUAUGACCAGACUUUUUCUAGGCGGAUCAUCCGGUGUUCUCACCGGUGCACUUUGCCUAGUUUAGGCCAGCAUCGGUUUCUGUAGAGGGAUAAAAUUGGUGGGAAUGUGGCUCCCUCGGGAGUGUUAUAGCCCGCUAAAUAAUACCUUUACGGGGACCGAGGUUCGCGCUCUGCAAGGAUGCUGGCGUAAUGGUCAUCAACGACCCGUCUUGAAACACGGACCAAGGAGUCGAACAUUUGUGCGAGUGUUUGGGUGUUAAACCCUCACGCGUAAUGAAAGUGAACGGAGGUGAGAGCCCUUACGGGUGCAUCAUCGACCGAUCCUGAAGUUCUCGGAUGGAUUUGAGUAAGAGCAUAACUGUUCGGACCCGAAAGAUGGUGAACUAUGCGUGGAUAGGGUGAAGCCAGAGGAAACUCUGGUGGAGGCUCGCAGCGGUUCUGACGUGCAAAUCGAUCGUCAAAUCUGCGCAUGGGGGCGAAAGACUAAUCGAACCAUUGAGAAACCAGCGGUAAAUUUGAUUUACUAGGUGGUUAAGAGGCGGCCCGAGAGGGAAAACAUCUAGGUCGGGGCAAGCUACCCUGGAGCUACCCUAUAGCGGUUACCCUGUAACUACCCUAUAGCGGCUACCCUGGAGCUACCCUAUACCGACACCACUCAAUUGCGGGGACAUCCUUUAGAAGGCUCUAGGCUACCGCAGUGCGCUGAAAAGCGUGUCUGCACCGAGAUUAGCGGUCUUGGGUAUGGUAAUAACGCCUGUGAGCUGGGACGACCUGCAGCCAACCCCGUUUCUUAGGGGAGAGUUCACUGACUAAACAGUGGUGGGUUAGCGAUCUGCUGGCUUAAGAUAUAGUCGACCGGGGCCCUGAAAAGGAGCCCGCA